rnacentral:tRNA from 1 species
GAAAAACAAAUGGCGUAGUGGUUAGUGACUCUGUUUGGCGAGCCGAAGGACCCGGGUUCGAUUCCCGGCCGGAGGGGCAGCU